rnacentral:tRNA from 1 species
GCUGUGGCUCAGAGGUAGAGUAUCCGCUUGUCAUGCAGACAAUCCCAAUUUUAAUCCCUGGCAUCUCCA